AUAUUUUAAGUAUUUUAAACAAUGCGCGACUCAUUUUUUCACAUUGUUGAAUAGUCACCACCCAUUUUUCUUACUUUUACAUGCAAGACUCAUUUUUCCACAAUAUGAACAGUGUGCGACUAAUGUUUUCAAAAAAUGAGGCGGCAGAUGUUGCUGCACAAAGAUAAAAAAGCCAACUGCCAUAAAUUUUAUCCAAAAAAGAGCAACAUGGCUUAUUGGAGCUAAUCAACCCUUUCUACAUGUACUUUCAACAAGCACACAGACCAAUGACAGUAGGACUACUGGCACUGACCGUUGGUUCAUCAGCAUGAAAAAUGGGUGUCAAAAAUAGCACAAAUAAUGUAAAAUGUGUAAUAUGCAUGUAUAACGAUGAAACUUACCAACCACUCGACCAGGAAACAUCUGUUGCAGACUAUGUGGGAACUGGGAUUCGGGAUGCUCUCCCACUGGUAUCAUAUGCAGAUCAGUGGUCACAAGAACGUACACAACAUCAUUAAUGUCAGCAAUAUAUAUCUCCAACUUCAAACACACAGCUUGCAAAAUCGCUGAAUAUUGCACAAAAGCAGCUUCGUUACAAACUUCCAGCAACUCGAAAUCCACAAGCAGUCUCGUUCCCCACCCACUUUGACUUCGUAGCGAAGGCAUGUUUUUUUUGGGAAACCGUUAACAUCUCACAACUAAACGUAUACUACGGAGAUUGACAAGUUGAAAAAUAAAUUACUGUAAUCACUUCCAAUUUGCGCACUAAGUUAAACUCCAGUUCCAGUUUGUCUUUAUUGUUGAAAUGUUACUCUACACAUUCGCUUUGAAAAUAGAGGUUGGCGUGUUGUUGGAAGUACAUGUACAUGUCGAAUGUGUUAUUGUAAAAACUAUUGGUAUUGUGUUUUUAGUGCAGACAUUGUAUUUAAGUUUCGAUUUCUAGCAUAAAUUUAUAUAUUUUGUUAAAUAAUUUGCGUUUGAAUGUGAUUGUUUGUUGCUUACUUGCGAACUAUUUUUUAUGUGUAAAUAUGCAUAGACGCUAGUGGAUAUGUAAUCAGGUUACCAUAUUUACAACAAUAAAAUUUAACGGCUGUU